GGGGUGGGAUGAUGACUGACAGUGGUUUCGCUCGUUUGGCUGAACCUUAGUGAUGUCACUUCUCUUGGCUGUCUGACCCG
ensembl:snoRNA small nucleolar RNA SNORD53/SNORD92